UACGUAGGGUGCAAGCGUUGUCCGGAAUUAUUGGGCGUAAAGAGCUCGUAGGCGGUUUGUCGCGUCUGCUGUGAAAACUGGGGGCUCAACCCCCAGCCUGCAGUGGGUACGGGCAAACUAGAGUGCGGUAGGGGAGAUUGGAAUUCCUGGUGUAGCGGUGGAAUGCGCAGAUAUCAGGAGGAACACCGAUGGCGAAGGCAGAUCUCUGGGCCGUAACUGACGCUGAGGAGCGAAAGCGUGGGGAGCGAACAGG
rnacentral:rRNA from 1 species